UACGUAGGGGGCAAGCGUUGUCCGGAAUCAUUGGGCGUAAAGCGCGUGUAGGCGGCUCGAUAAGUCUGCUGUGAAAGUCCAGGGCUCAACCCUGGGAUGCCGGUGGAUACUGUCGAGCUCGAGUCCGGAAGAGGAGUGUGGAAUUCCUGGUGUAGCGGUGAAAUGCGCAGAUAUCAGGAGGAACACCGGUGGCGAAGGCGGGUCUCUGGGCCGUAACUGACGCUGAGGAGCGAAAGCGUGGGGAGCGAACAGG
rnacentral:rRNA from 1 species